UACGGAGGGAGCUAGCGUUGUUCGGAAUUACUGGGCGUAAAGCGCGCGUAGGCGGCUUUGUAAGUUAGAUGUGAAAGCCCGGAGCUCAACUCCGGAACUGCCUUUAAGACUGCAUCGCUUGAAUCCAGGAGAGGUGAGUGGAAUUCCGAGUGUAGAGGUGAAAUUCGUAGAUAUUCGGAAGAACACCAGUGGCGAAGGCGGCUCACUGGACUGGUAUUGACGCUGAGGUGCGAAAGCGUGGGGAGCAAACAGG
rnacentral:rRNA from 1 species